CCCUCCCCCACCAUAUUGAAUAAUGAGGUUGCAACUUUCACCAGCAGCAUGUAGCUUUGAGUGUCAAAUAUAAUUGACUUCCCUAUAUCACAUAUUUCUCUCCUAAAUAUCACAGCAGAAGUUAUCUAAUUGCCCAAAAGGACAUUUCUCACUACAGAAGGCAACAAAAUUUUUUGAUACAAGUGGAAGAUUGUAUUUGGCUC
rnacentral:lncRNA from 1 species